rnacentral:rRNA from 1 species
UACGAAGGGGGCUAGCGUUGCUCGGAAUCACUGGGCGUAAAGCGCACGUAGGCGGCUUUUUAAGUCAGGGGUGAAAUCCUGGAGCUCAACUCCAGAACUGCCUUUGAUACUGGGAAGCUUGAGUCCGGGAGAGGUGAGUGGAACUCCGAGUGUAGAGGUGAAAUUCGUAGAUAUUCGGAAGAACACCAGUGGCGAAGGCGGCUCCCUGGCCCGGUACUGACGCUGAGGUGCGAAAGCGUGGGGAGCAAACAGG